AGCGAACGCUGGCGGCAGGCUUAACACAUGCAAGUCGAGCGGGCGUAGCAAUACGUCAGCGGCAGACGGGUGAGUAACGCGUGGGAACGUACCUUUUGGUUCGGAACAACACAGGGAAACUUGUGCUAAUACCGGAUAAGCCCUUACGGGGAAAGAUUUAUCGCCGAAAGAUCGGCCCGCGUCUGAUUAGCUAGUUGGUGAGGUAACGGCUCACCAAGGCGACGAUCAGUAGCUGGUCUGAGAGGAUGAUCAGCCACAUUGGGACUGAGACACGGCCCAAACUCCUACGGGAGGCAGCAGUGGGGAAUAGUGGACAAUGGGGGCAACCCUGAACCAGCCAUGCCGCGUGAGUGAUGAAGGCCCGAGGGUUGUAAAGCUCUUUUGUGCGGGAAGAUAAUGACGGUACCGAAAGAAUAAGCCCCGGCUAACUUCGUG
rnacentral:rRNA from 1 species